CUGGUCCUUGUCCUCAUGCAGAAAGUCCAAGAUGAUAAGCAUGGCAAUGUUUUGGUCAAGCUAGAAAAAAGCAUCAUUGUGACCGCUGAGACCGCGUCCGCCCCGCGAGCACAGAGCCUCGCCCUUGUCAUUCCGUUGCCCGUUCACACCCGCCGCCAGCUCGCCAUGGAUGAUGAUAUCGCUGCACUUGUUGUAGACAAAGGCUCCGGCAUGUGCAAGGCUGGCUUCGCGGGCAGCGAUGCUCCCCGGGCCGUCUUCCCCUCCAUUGUGGGGCACCCCAGGCACCAGGGCGUGAUGGUGGGCAUGCGUCAGAAGGACUCCUACGUGCGUGGGUUGCGUGCGUGGGUGACGAGGCCCAGAGCAAGAGACGCAUCCUGACCCUGAAGUAUGCCAUUGAGCAUGGCAUUGUCACCAACUGGGAUGACGACAUGGAGAAGAUCUGGCACCACACUUUCUACCACGAGCUGCGUGUGGCUCCUGAGGAGCACCCCAUGCUGCUUGCUGAGGGCCCCCUGAACCCCAAGGCCAACAGCGAGAAGAUGACCCAGAUCAUGUUUGAGACCUUCGACACCCCAGCCAUGUAUGUGGCUAUCCAGGCCGGGCUUUCCUUGUAUGCCUCUGGCCGUACCACUGGCAUCGUGAUGGACUCCGGUGAUGGGGUCACCCACACUGUGCCCAUCUACGAGGGGUUUGUCCUCCCCCAUGCCAUCCUGCGUCUGAACCUGACUGACCAGGACCUGACUGACUACCUCAUGAAGAUCCUCACUGAGUAGGCUACAGCUUCACCACCCCAGCUGAGCAGGAAAUCGUGCAUGACAUCAAAGAGAAGCUGUGCUACAUCGCCCUGGACUUUGAGCAGGAAAUGGCCAUGGCUGCCUCCAGCUCCUCCCUGGAGAAGAGCUAUGAGCUGCCCGAUGGUCAGGUCAUCACCAUCCGCAACAAGUGGUUCUGCUGCCCUGAGGCGCUCUUCCAGCCUUCCUUCCUGGGCAUGGAAUCUUGUGGCAUCCACAAAACUACCCUUAAUUCCAUCAUGAAAUGUGACGUGGACAUCCGCAAAGACCUGUAUGCCAACACAGUGCUGUCUGGUGGUACCGCCAUGUACCCUGGCAUCGCUGACAGGAUGCAGAUGGAGAUCACUGCCCUGGCACCCAGCACGAUGAAGAUCAAGAUCAUUGCUCCUCCCGAGCACAAGUACCCCGUGUGGAUCGGUGGCUCCAUCCUGGCCUCGCUGUCCACCUUCCAGCAGAUGUGGAUCAGCAAGCGGGAGUAUGAUGGGUCCAGCCCCUCCAUCAUCCACCGCCUCCAUCUUCCACAGCAAAUGCUUCUAGGUGGACUGUGACUUAGUUGCAUUACACCCUUUCUUGACAAAACCUAACUUGUGCAGAAAACAAGAUGAGAUUGGCAUGGCUUUAUUUGUUUUUUUGUUUUGUUUUUAUUUAUUUAUUUAUUUUUUUGGCUUGACUCAGGAUUUAAAAACUGGAACGGUGAAGGUGACAGCAGUCAGCUGGAGCGAGCAUCGCCCAAAGUUCUGCAGUGUGGCCAAGGACUUGAUUGUGUACAUUGUUUUUUUAAAGUCAUUCCAAAUAUCGUGAGAUGCAUUGUUACAGGAAGUCCCUUGCCCUCCCAAAAGCCACCCCACUUCUCUCUAAGGAGAAUGGCCCAGUCCUGUCCUGAGUCCACACAGGGGAGGUAACAGCAUUGCUUUUGUUGUAAAUUAUGUAAUGAAAAAUUUUUAAAAUUUCGCCUUAAUACUUUUUUUAUUUUGUUUUAUUUUGAAGAUUUUAGCCUCCGUGGCUACCCCUUUUUUUGUCUCUCAACUUGAGAUGUAUGAAGGCUUUUGGUCUCCCUGGGAGUGGGUGGAGGCAGCCAGGGCUUACCUGUACACUGACUUGAGACCAGUUGAAUAAAGUGCACACCUUAAAAAAAAAAAAAAAAAAAAAAAAAA